rnacentral:lncRNA from 1 species
CCGUGACUUCUCGUAGAUGGUAUACGCUACGGAUACGCUAGCGAGUUUUGGGUUGGUUUCUGCAUCGUAUACGACCUACGAAAAGUCAGGGUAUGUGUUACUGUUGUACAUCAAAUCCGGCACAAUCCUAUAAGAUUUCACAGAAAUUUGGAACUCUCGAAGGAAUCAACUUCUUCGGAUUCCGAGUACUAUCCCUCACACGCCACUGUCCCCACUAUCCGCGCGGCCGUCACUUAUGCGUUUCCUCGUGUACCGUCCACAUUCACUUUUCGCGGCGAACGAAGCAAACGCGAGUGUUUUGGUAAUUUGCCGUGUCACAAGUUCUAAUCACGUGCAAAUUUUCACUCGGCCAGUGUGUAUACAGAUAUUUGUUACAAACAACAAUAAUCUUGCGAGUGCAACAAUGGAUGAGUUACGUCGCACGGCUGAACCGAAAAAAGGUUAAAUUUGACGCACCGACGAACGAAUCGUUCGUUGCAAUGUGAGAUGGCGCGGACACAUGGUUAUAAGAGAACAGAAGAGGACCCAUGUAUUUGAUAAUCCGUCGUAACCGUUGGACGGACGCAAUGUCACAUGCCGCGAGGAGAUCUUCGUGGAGUGGUGAACUAUGUUCGAAUUACAUUACUUCGC